GACGAACGCUGGCGGCGUGCCUAAUACAUGCAAGUAGAACGCACAGUUUAUACCGUAGCUUGCUACACCAUAAACUGUGAGUUGCGAACGGGUGAGUAACGCGUAGGUAACCUGCCUGGUAGCGGGGGAUAACUAUUGGAAACGAUAGCUAAUACCGCAUAAUAUUGAUUAUUGCAUGAUAAUUGAUUGAAAGAUGCUAUUGCAUCACUACCAGAUGGACCUGCGUUGUAUUAGCUAGUAGGUGAGGUAACGGCUCACCUAGGCGACGAUACAUAGCCGACCUGAGAGGGUGAUCGGCCACACUGGGACUGAGACACGGCUCAGACUCCUACGGGAGGCAGCAGUAGGGAAUCUUCGGCAAUGGACGAAAGUCUGACCGAGCAACGCCGCGUGAGUGAAGAAGGUUUUCGGACCGUAAAGCUCUGUUGUAAGAGAAGAACGGGUGUGAGAGUGGAAAGUUCACACUGUGACGGUAUCUUACCAGAAAGGGACGGCUAACUACGUG
rnacentral:rRNA from 1 species